rnacentral:lncRNA from 1 species
CCUGAGGUUACCUUUACGAGUUCAUGACACAGAUCUUGGACUGGACUUUUACUCAAGAGGAGGAAAAAGUUCCUGGUUUGGACUCAAGACUCCAAAAUCAAAACGGUGAAAUAUAAUUGGCAAAUUUAAAUCCAUGCAAAAGGAUUAAUGCCUUGUGGAAAGAAGUGCAGGUGAAUAGAAAUGCUGGAGGUGGAUCCCAAGAUCUAAAGUCAAGGACUGGAUCAGGGAAGUCACUGGACAACUUUGAGCUUAAUUAAUCUCAUCAAGAAAUAUAUAUAAAGAUUAACUUCUCCAUCUUCCAUGUGUUGUGAGAAUCAUUGAGAAACAGCAAUACAUUGUAUUAGAAUAAAGACAGUGUAUAAAAACCAAGAAGAUAUGCCUCACUCACUAUCAUCACCAUCCUCACCAUCACGAUAUGAUCAUCACCAUUUUUACUCCAUUAGUGCCUUAAAUGUUUUCCAUGUUGUACUGCUGCCACCUAAUGGCAGAGCUGAAUGAAUGUGAAGCUUCCUUCAAGUCACAUACUCUGGUUUUGCCUUUUCUUAAAUCUGUAUUCACCUGGACUGAAGUCAGAAAAUGUACAGGCUGGAAAAAAAUAAACAGAAAUGACUGCACUUGUUAUACUUGGCAAGUAGAAUUCUGCCCCAACCUUGAAUAAAUGGGGCAGAAAUGAGCCCCAGGUCUAGAUUAAGGGAACGCCCACCAGGUGGUCUUAUCCAUUUUUCAUUAGUCCAAAUGUGUUUUGUAUGUAACAAACCAUGCUCCUAUUAACUUCCAGACAUAAAAUGAAAACAUUUAGAGCAAGCUGUGGACUGAUUAUCAGAAUUGGAGGGAGUGUGGCAUUUUGAAACUCUUGAGACAGAAGACUGGGUCUACUGGUGUAAGGAGCUGUAGCGGCAACUGGUUGCAGGAAUUGUACAUAUGGCCUUGCAGAACAUCUUUCCAAGGCGUCUCAGACUGUGUGGUCACUCUCAAAAGGACAACAGUUUUACUCCCAGAAUUUAUGAAGAGACAAAGGCUCUGACUCCUCUUUGGUUUCCUUCUUAAAACAUUCUACUUAGACAUUCCACAGGGCAAUAAAAACUAAUAACUAGCCGUUUGCACUUUUCAUUUCCAUGGUAACUUUCCUACGUAGGUAUUCCAAAGUUCUUAUAAAAAUAGGGAAUGCCGAUUGACCUACAUCCAGGAAAUGAGGCGAUAGUUUUAUUUCAGGUCCUUAAGCAGAAACCUACCCAUUUUCAUAUGAGUAUCUGUCUGCAGAAAGUCAAUGGGGCUCUAAGUGCAAGGACAUUGUCCCACACACUUGGACAGAAAUAAAGCAGCUGGAGAAGACUGCUGAAUUCAGGCUUCUCUCCAACAGUGAAGAAAGCCCAACCUGGCAUGGUGAAAGAACCCCUCUAUCACAAUAUAACUUGGGAUUCACGAAGAUGGCAGAAGAUUUUGGAGAAUGACUGGAUUUACUAUCUUACAGAACAAGAACUAAAUAUAUUUUAAUGUACAUGAAACUGCAAACAAAUUUUCAAUAUGAUAGAGAGUCUGAGUGAAAAAUGAAAAUCCAUACUUAAAGUAGAGGAGGACAGAAAUAGAAAUUGUUACAUUGAAAGAAUCAAUCUGAACUCAUCAUUUUAAACAGGAAAUAUAUUUUCCAUCCCUGUCAAUGAUCCAAAACCAGCAGCUUCACCUUUUCCCAACACUCACGUCUAAUUCUGGUCUGUGCAACCAAUUGGUCAGCAGCCCAGACUCUUCAUCUUAGCUAGUCUGGGAGACUAUUAUUUUUCAGUUGAGAGUGCUAAGAUUAUCACAAGCCUAGGAUGAAAAUAGAAUACUGUAUGUGGUAAAUUUACUGUAAUUCUAGAAAGAUAACUCUGAGAAGAAACCAAAAUUAAGGUGUAAGAAUAAGAAUGGAAAUAAGAAUUACAAUGAAAAUAGAAAUAAGAAUAAAAAUAACAUGAGAAUAAAGACGUGGAACAUGACAUUUCAAUUCAUGUUAUUUGCAUUAUGGUAGUAAGUUUUAUUGUAAGUGUGUUAAUGUAUUAAUCACUGAAGUAUUUUGUAUGUCUUCUGUCUGCAUCCUAGCAUGUUUAAAGCAUUUUGAAAAAUUUCUGGAGAUGUGUGCUUUUAAUUAAAUCAUCAGAAGGGUUUUAUGGGACAAAUUUAACUUUGCAGCCAAUGUCUAAGAAUUUGGGAAAAUUCAUUGAAUCAAUAUGUUUUUAUUUAUCAUAAUCUACCAAUAUGUGAAUAUUUAAAAGAAUGUUUAUUAUUUAUUGCUUAAAAAUAAUUGGUUGAUAAAUUCAAAAUAUCAAGAAUUUAGACAUUAG